UCUUUUUUUUUUUUCUCUCUACAAAUACGGCCACUUUCAGCUUUCCAUUUGUAUCCCGGAGCUGCAAAGUGGCGUUUGUCCACCAGAGGGCACGUGGGCCAUUUUCUCCUCCUGAGCACCAAAAAAGGGAGAAAGGUUUCCAAAGGAAAUGCCCUUCCAAAAUGGGACCCCGCACUGGCUGCCUUGGCCGUUCCGUUGCCAUUGCAGCUGAAUGGUGCUUGGGCAGCUGAGCUGGCAGCAGUAGGGCUGAUGGGACUCUGUGCCACUACCACAGAGCCAUCUUGGUGUGAUGUGGGGUUCUGCCUGUGUGAAGGGUUAAAUGGAAGUCUUUAUGGUGCCAUGACUUUAUGGUUCCCUAGACUUGCAUUUUAGACCUCUGUUUGUGUGUAUAUGUGUAUAUGCACACAUGAGAGAGAGAGAGAUACACACAUGUGCAUGUGUACUCACCUACCUUUGCUCACACAAAUCUCUGUAUCCACACAGGCCCACUCUACAGCUUGCAAAGUAAAUUAGACUUAAAUGACUCUUUGGAAACAAAAUAAAUCAAAUAGCAUAAUAGUACCAUCUUUUUAUCUCAUUUGUUCCCAUACAAUUAGUAGUUUUACUGCCAUGUUGUGACAGGUGACUGUGUUUGACCUUUGCCGCUUGGGUGGCUGGCUGGUGCUCAAACUAAUGAAGACCCUUAAUGGAUUGGCUUUUGUGAGGCUGUGAGCGGUGGGGUUAAAGAGAAAAUGGUGCCUUAGACAGAGUCCAGAGAAGAUCCUUCAAUUAAACCUGAAGUCUAUUAGCAAAGAAAUAUUGAGGAGGUUGAGAGUUAGCAAUGAUUUAACCAGCAAGUCUUCCUUGUGAGUCGUUAAAAUAAAAAAAAAAAAAAAUCUCCCUGGUUAUUUAUUGUUGAAUGUGUGGUUGGACUCCCAUCCUCUUGGGUGAGAGGGUGGGAGCAGAGCUGUUGAUUUGGAAAGGCUGAGGCUGCAGGGCCCUAGUCCCAAGUUUGUUAGCCCCUUGGCUCCCACACAGUCGAACUUCCCUUGGACAAAAGAGCGAGGAAAAAUGAAGCAAUAGUAGGAACAAAUGAAGAGUGAUGCCGGGGAAGAUAAAACCAGAUCUCUGGGAUAAAUAAGACUUUUUGGAACUUAAUUGUUUUUCAUGAUGUAAAUAAAUUACAAUGAAAGAAAAGGAGAACAGGCAGCUUCUGGGCAAUGAGUCAGAGGACAGUGCCGAGCUGCAUAGCAUGUGUAAUAACUAGGAGCGGAGGAAGGCUGGUGCAGGAGAGGCAGGGUCUGCCCAGAGCAGCACAAAUGGACACAACAAGGAGUGCUACAUGCAGGGACUCGAGGGAUGGCUGAGCUGUGAGGGCACUGGAAGGGCCAGGUCUGAUUACAGCAUAAGGACAUGCGGCCUUUCUCCUGCUGUGUUAGACCCUUCAACAGAAAUCCUGCAUGUGGCAGAUACAACCUGCCUGCUGCUCCAUGUGAUCUCCUCCUGCCCCUAAUGGCUAAUGAACUGGCUCUUGUCCCUUUCUGUUAGCUUCAAUGUCUGAUCCUAAGCAUUUCCCCCUUCCUUCCUUCCUUUUGUUUUCAAGAGCUGUAUGACUUUCAGCCUGGGCAUCAUCCUGAAGCAGUGUCCAUGGUCUUGAGCAGAGUUGGGGCUGCUUCUGCCCCUCACUGGUUGUUUGGGUGAUACGCUGUCCCACAGUUGAGAUGUGAGAGAGCAGAAGGAUCUGAUGAGGGGAAAGCACAAAGCUGAUUGUGCUGGGUGGAGAGGCCUACCUUCCCACUAGUUAGCCAUCAUCUAGAUUCUAUUGGGGUGUCCUAAAUUUGCCAGGUUCAGCUGGCAAAGCUGAAGCUUUUAUUCUCACACACUUCUCUUGCCUCCACACACAUGUAGUAAACCUCAAAGGAUCCAAGUGGGUCAGCUAGGCAGAUAAAGGCUGAGAUGGGACAGGGAGAGAAGGGAACAGUGUCCUGGGUCCUGACAUGCCUCCUUCACGGUGACCCAUGCUGUAGGCUGGUUAGGUAUCUUGGUGUCUACCUCUUUCUUUUCUUCCUUGGCCUACACCCUUGUAAAAAGAUCAUGUAAGGGGGAAGCAGUUUGCUCUUAGCAAGUGUAUUUGCUCUGUGCUUCUCCUUGUUUGUUCUGGGUGAUAUUUUUUACAGUUCUUCCUGCCCCUGCUGCUUCUUCCCAUCUUUCCUGAUGGAACCACAAGUGCCUGCAUGCAAGGUCAGAACUGAGCAGUCAUGCAUGAAUUGGAACUCCACCCAACACCAAACCAAACUGGACACUGGAUAAUGGAAUACCUUUUGGAAGUAAAAAGUGAAGAAUAGUGAAGAGCAAAGAAAGAAAUGCCAAGAUGUCUCAGUGGAUUUCUUGAAAACUACUGAGUUUCUGAAACUCCCAUCUCUUAGAAUCAGGAAUUGCAGCUGCCCCCUAGAAAAUAAUCACAGGUAUUUCCACUGGACAUUCCUGUAACGUCCCAAGAUGAGACAGCAUGAGCUGUGGUGGGCGCGGUGCUCAGAUGCUGGUGUAAACAGCAGUUGUGUAACCUGUGCUGAUCUAGGUGAGGAAGUGGCUCUUCUGUAACUAUCAGAGAAGUUACUGGGAUUUAUUGGCAUCCGUAUAUCAGCCCAGCUCAUUAGCCAGUGCCUCGGAGAUGAUGAUGUAGUCCCUAUGUGGGCCGCAGAAAGCACUUCGAGCCGUGCUGGAGUCGUGCUGGGUGGCUCUGAUAGCAGAGCUAAUGGGAGCGAAUGGGAUGCAACGAACUGUUCUAAUGACACCAGCCAGGGAAGAGACAACACAUUGCUGGGGUUAUGCCCUUCGAGUGAGGCCUUGGAAGCCUUCAGCAUCCCUGGAUCUGGACACAGACAGCAAAGAUGUGGGACCACUGCUCAAACCAGAGGAGGCUGAACUGGAAUGUGAAUGGGAGCCAGAGCAGGGUGAUGCUGACUUUUGCCAGGGCCCUGUGGUCUUAGGUCUUGUUCCUACAUGUGACCCACUCUACAUCAAAUGUGACUGCUAUCUUCCUUUCAUCUGCCCUAAAAGGAAAGAAAAACUUCCAUGCCUUCCCAGUGAAAUUUGCUGUGCUCUUCCGUUGCCAGAGUAAAUGGAAACACAUUUCCCUCACGUUUCCUCCACUGACGCCAAUGGAGCAACACUGUAGAAGAGUCACUGCUGCUGCGAUCUGUGCCAGCCUUGUAGAAUUCCUUCCUGUGAUAAUCAAGUCCUCCUACUGUCUCCAAUAAAGCAACACCCAUGGAGAAAGAGGGACAUCCCAAACGACUUAUGGUGCUGCAGACACUGAAGUCCUUGCAAAGGGACGAACUUGCGGUGCCACUGGCUGUAGAUGCUCAAGGCUUCUGAGAAGAAGUGACAUAUCACUCUUGUAAUGAUCUUCCCCUGAUCUUCAGGUCACACGCAAGAAAACAACAGCUCACAAGGACUCCUCCAAGGCCAGAAUCCCCACUGCGCUCGGAGCUGUAUGUUCAAGCAGUAACAUACAGCCCACGGUCUAGAGACCUUAUAUUUAAACUGAGGAAAGCUGGCAGAAAGGAAACAUUAACGCUGUUUCAAAGGCAAACAACCCAGACACAGAGAGAAAACAUCUUACUGGUAGUAAGUCUAUAAACCAACGUAAGUCUUUUCGGAAGACCGUCACAUCAGAUUGACUUCCUGACUCAAGAUGAAUUCUUACCUCUUUUGGCUGGACAUUGAUCUUCCUCAGUUUGGUGAGUGACAGACCAGACAGAAGGCAGUGGAUGGAGCUUGCUUCUCAUGGGAUGCUCGGAGAGAGCAGGGUUUGGGUAGGUCAGGGUUCACAGAAGAAGGGCACAAAGUGUCUUUGGGUAGGAAUGGUGACCACUAUUCUUGUUCUUUAUCUCACGCUGUUUUGCACACUUGGACAUGUUCUGUGCUCUGAUUUCUUAAUACUUUCAGGCAUCUUUCUGCUAUGAGGAGACAAAGAGAAUCCAAGAAAGACUGGUUAACUUGGUUUUGUAAAUGUUUGUGCAUAAAUAUAUGGGGAAAUGUGGAUGUACCUCCAAUAUUUCUUCUAACAUUUUUCAUGUCCUUUUUUUUUUUUUUGCUGAUGUAACUGUUAAUUUCUUGUUUCUGUAGCCAUACUUUGAAUAAAUCAGUGAGUUGAUUC